UGAGGUGUCGUAAUCGAUACCUCCACCGCCCGCAGAUGCCAACCAAUCUGGGAGUGGCCGAAAACAGGGCCAGAGGCGGCUGCAUUGGCCGAAAAAUACGCCCCGGGCCGUAUUGGUCCAUGGCGACGAUCACAAACGCCCUGACACCGGUUCGGACCUAUUCGCGCCGCCGACGUGCAGCCCGCAUCCCUUGGAACGCGUCUUCGAGAACCCUGACUUGGCUCCGCUCUUCAAGGAGCUGCCCAAUCUGAAGGACGAGCUGUGGCGCUCGCCCCUGGGGAUCAGCAGAACGCCGAGUUCCUCUUCAAGGUCUACGUCAGUUUGAGCAAUGCAGUUACUCCCUUCUUCCACCGAGCCGUCGAGCUCAUAACCGUGAGCGCCCCCAAGGUGACGGAUCUUGCUAAGUUCAACAUCGCCGCGGAGCUGUCCACCUAUGUCCAGUCCGUCGUGGAUCCCAUCCCCAACGGAUUCUCGCUGGUUGCCAAAUAUAAAUUGAGACCUCCUAAGAACCCAGGAAUCAAGGUUCCCUCUUUGCGAGAGCUUAGGAAUGUAGUCGGCCGCGUGGUGUUGAAGAACAUAGGGGCACCGCCUAUAUUGACCGUCAUCAGAUUGCACAUACAACUAUCAAUUUUGGUCAAAACUUAUAUUCGAAGGCAGGCGCAUAAUCUCUACAUGGAUCACGGGAAUCACCCUAUUAUGCUCAUAACUGACGCGAGCCAAACGAAGGAUGCUGCUAGUCAAACGAAGGAUGCUAGUCAAACGAAGGACGCUGGCCAAGCGAAGGAAACUAGCCAGACGGAGGAUGCUAACCAGACAGAGGAUAAUACUCAAAAGGAGGAUACGAACCAAAAGAAGGAGAUCCCGGCCGAAUCGCAGCCUCAGCCGUCGAAAGAAGAACCGGCCGAAUCUCAUUUUCAACCUAUGAGAACCGUAUCGGAACACUUCAAGAAAAUAACCGGCAUCAUCAUAAAGCUCCCAAUAUAAGAGGCAGGAACACCGAAAAAAAAGAUGCUGUGGUAACAUUCCGGAUGUUACGGUUAUUAAAAAAAUGCGCGACAGCUCUUGGAUGUUGCUGUUGACACUCUGGCAGUUAACGUAGCAUGCUAGGAUGUAAAAUUAACAUCCUAGGAUGUUGCUUUAACAGCCAGAGUGGAGGUGACAACAUCCAAGAGUUGUCGCACAUUUUUUUUUACAUCCGGGAUGUUGCUGCAGCUCCUCUUUUUUUUCGGUGAAUAACGAUACGGAGCAAAUGUUGUGGUUAAGCCCGAAAUACACCUAAAAACUAAGAGCGCAAAAUUAUUACUGUGAUCGUCUGUUUUUGUCACGUUUAAUAUAGAUUAUUGACGUUUUCUUCUGUAAAUUUGGAUAUCACAAGAACACUGGGCAGGCAACUGUUAGGGAGAGGGGCCAUCCAUAAAUUACGUCACCCAUUUUUUCCAAUUUUUCGACCCCUCCCUUCCUCACCGUAUCAAAUCGUCAUCCACUGCUAGAUCCCCGUCUAAAAAUUACGACAUCCUCAGCGUAACCCCCCCCCCCCCCCCCCCAUUUUGGGGUGAAGCGCACAAUAUCGAUGAAAAUCAAUAAAUAAAGUAUGCAGCGUUAGUAGCAUGAUUAAUUUGUCGAAGGCACCCAGUAUAUGUUGCGUUCUUCCCCUCUUUUUGGGAGAAAACGCAGAAAAUCGAUAAAAUCCAGUAGAUAUAAUAGUUCAGCAUCAGCGUGCCCUCAAAUUUCAAGCAAGCAUUUUCAGCCUUUUUGCCUUCAAGAGAGAUUACAUCAUCCGUGGCUUGACACCCCAUCACCCACCGUCAACCACAGCUAGAACCCCCCCCCCCCCCCCACCUUGGGUGACGUAAUUUAUGGACGGUCCCUAAAAGAAGCAUCAGGUCUACUCCGUGAAAGUGAAGAGUCAAUGAAAUUUCACAUUCAUUCUCAGGUAAAACAUUUUUAGUAUUAAAGUUUUUCAUUGAAGUGAUUCAAAUCGCGAUUUUGCCUAUAUGACAUCACUGAAGAGACCUCUUGUUUCUCAAAACGACCAGUCCUCUCUCAUGGAAUGUAACUCAUGAGUUUGAUUAUGACGAGAAGUGCAAAAUUAGUUUUUGCAAUUGAAUUAUAUAAAAUGUUGAAUGAUUUCCAACAAAACGGACCAAUAAACUCUAAAAUCCCAAAUGAGCAUUGACUACAGACGCGAGAGGACGUAGACCUGCUAAAUAUUAAGAAUAUUUGAAUUUUUCUGACUUCUAGAAUAUCGUAUAGUUACAAAUUUAGAAACAGGAAUUUGCAUGAUAAUUCUUGCUGACGCACUAUGAACAUAUAAUUACAUCAAUUAAUGUAUAUUCUCCUUUUUAAUAUUGUUCACCUUUUUUCACCUUUUACAUCAAAUUAUAUUAUAACCAACACCGAAUAAAUGUAUCUCUCUUCCAAUUUUCCCUUUCCAAAAUUGUGCAUAUGGAUAGCCUUCCAAAAAGUUGUCUCUUUUUCGGGAGCGGAAAGUAUUCGUUUAAAUGUAGUUAAAAUGAAACCUCUUCAUAAGAAAAGCCUCUAUUGUAAUAUUCAGCUUAUAGGUUCAAAGCUUAUUUUGCCGACACAGCGGUACUAAAUUUACAUUUUUAGUUCACAUACAAGCAUAUUUUAAUGCUAAAAAUUUUAAAUUUGGAAUACUAUAUCAUUGAAACCGUUAUUGAACUUGAGGUUAAAACUUUUACUUCUUUAUCAAACUUCAUUUGAACUUUUUUAAAACUCCUAAUUUGAACAUUUUUUUCACUAUCAUAAGGUUUUAUUUAAGUUUUCUGGCAAUUAAAAUCCCAGGCUCCAUGAAAAAGGACAUAAGAGGUCCUUUUCAUGGGAGGCACUCAGCUUUUUCUCACCUCGUAAUUCCAUUUGGACCGAAUUUAACCCAAGUUACAUCAAGAGUGAGCCAAAAAAGAGAGCGAAGUUUUAACCUUCAAUAAAGUGCAAUUUUAUAGGCAAAGUUCAACGCCUCUUUCCACAUUAUAGAUAUUUUUUCUCUACUCUGAAACUUUUAUAAGAAAUAAUAUGUGGCUGGUAAAUAUAAAAGUACUCCUAACUCAUAUUUUUCUGACAUGUGCGACUUGCUUUUUUUCUGUUUAAUAUCCUUCUACCUUUUUCUGAUGAGAAACAUUUUGCAUGGUAAAAC
rnacentral:lncRNA from 1 species